CAGGAGGCCAAGGGUACUGGAGGCACAGACGGGGGCCCGUGGGGGCAGGACAGCAGCCUCCCCGAGGCACAUGGCUGAGUGCUGAGCUGGGAAGGCACCAUCGUAAUGCCCUGGAGGGCCAGACUUGAAAUGAGAACUCUUACAAAACCACACCAGAGCACAGCCCACCUCCCUUCUCUUCCCUGACUGUGCCCCCCAGCAGAGGACCCUGGCCCACAGCCAAGCCACAUCCAUGCCACUCCUGCGAACAGCCACUUCCAGUGUUCACAGCCCCUAGGAUCCCUUUACAGUUUCUGAGCACAAGACUCCAACUUGCCCGCGUGAUUUCACUCUCUACAGCCAGCGGCCGCACCUUUUGUCAGAGGCCUGCCCGGGCUGCUGGAAACUGCUUUGGCUGUGAGUGCUGAGGGCUGGCAGUGCCUUGAACCAAUGACUGACAGGUGAAAAAUGAGUAUAUACAUGUACCUAUAUGGUUCCCUCUAUAGCUGUUACACACUUCAUUGAGAUACUGCAUGUAAAGUAUCCAGCACAUGAUAAGAGGUCAAGAACUUACUAGUAUUUGUCCUCUUGGAGCAGGUGUGCCUGCCACAAUCUGACAGCCUAUGUUCAAUUAUCUGAGGUUCCCUGCCAGUUCCUCACUCCCUCUGUGGGGAGUGGCCUUUCCCCCAAGAGGUUUGCACUGA
rnacentral:lncRNA from 1 species